GUGGAUUAGAUACCCCGGUAGUCCAUGCCGUAAACGUUGGGCACUAGGUGUGGGGGACAUUCCACGUUUUCCGCGCCGUAGCUAACGCAUUAAGUGCCCCGCCUGGGGAGUACGGCCGCAAGGCUAAAACUCAAAGGAAUUGACGGGGGCCCGCACAAGCGGCGGAGCAUGCGGAUUAAUUCGAUGCAACGCGAAGAACCUUACCAAGGCUUGACAUGGACUAGAUCGCCGCAGAGAUGCGGUUUCCCUUCGGGGCUGGUUCACAGGUGGUGCACGGCCGUCGUCAACU
rnacentral:rRNA from 1 species